rnacentral:rRNA from 1 species
UACAGAGGUCCCAAGCGUUGUUCGGAUUCAUUGGGCGUAAAGGGUGCGUAGGCGGCGCGGUAAGUCGGGUGUGAAAUCCCGGGGCUCAACCCCGGAACUGCAUUGGAUACUGCCUUGCUUGAGUACUGGAGAGGGAACUGGAAUUUACGGUGUAGCAGUGAAAUGCGUAGAGAUCGUAAGGAAGGCCAGUGGCGAAGGCGAGUUCCUGGACAGUGACUGACGCUGAGGCACGAAGGCCAGGGGAGCAAACGGG